CAGCAGCCGCGGUAAUACGUAGGUGGCGAGCGUUGUCCGGAAUCAUUGGGCGUAAAGGGAGCGCAGGCGGGCGUGUAAGUCUUUCUUAAAAGUGCGGGGCUCAACCCCGUGAUGGGAAAGGAACUACAUGUCUUGAGUACAGGAGAGGAAAGCGGAAUUCCCAGUGUAGCGGUGAAAUGCGUAGAUAUUGGGAGGAACACCAGUGGCGAAGGCGGCUUUCUGGACUGCAACUGACGCUGAGGCUCGAAAGCCAGGGGAGCGAACGGGAUUAGAUACCCCUGUAGUCCCUGUCUCUUAUACA
rnacentral:rRNA from 1 species